rnacentral:piRNA from 1 species
UCCGGGUGCAAAAGUUCCUCGAGUCAGCCUC